AUUGGUAUUCCUUUUCUUUUCCUUUGUGCUUUCCUUGCCCAAGUUGGCCUCUGUUAUUCUGCUAAGGUCUAUGUGGUCUAUAUGGGAAGCAGAGAUGGUCAUGACCCAGAUGAGAUCUUGAUGCAGAACCACCAAUUCCUCACUGAUUUUCAUGGUGGAAGUGUUGAACAAGCCAGGGCAUCUCAUGUCUACAGUUACAGACAUGGUUUCAGAGGCUUUGGAGCCAAGUUGACAGAGGACCAAGCUUCUGAAAUUGCCAGUG